rnacentral:rRNA from 1 species
UACGAGGGGGGCGAGCGUUGUUCGGAAUUAUUGGGCGUAAAGGGUGCGUAGGCGGUUUGAUAAGUCUGAUGUGAAAUCUAUGGGCUCAACCCAUAGCCUGCAUUAGAAACUGUCGGGCUUGAGUAUGGGAGAGGUGAGUGGAAUUUCCGGUGUAGCGGUGAAAUGCGUAGAUAUCGGGAGGAACACCUGUGGCGAAAGCGGCUCACUGGACCACAACUGACGCUGAGGCGCGAAAGCUAGGGGAGCAAACAGG